rnacentral:piRNA from 1 species
UGCCAGAGUCCCUUCAGAGAUGAUGCUUGC